AGAGUUUGAUCCUGGCUCAGGACGAACGCUGGCGGCGUGCUUAACACAUGCAAGUCGAGCGGAGUGCAGUAAUGCACUUAGCGGCGGACGGGUGAGUAACACGUGGGUAAUCUGCCCUCAAGUGAGGAAUAACACAAAGAAAUUUGUGCUAAUACCGCAUAAAGUAUGCUAAUCGCAUGAUAGGCAUAAAAAAGAUUUAUUGCUUGAGGAUGAGCCCGCGGCCCAUUAGCUAGUUGGUGAGGUAAAGGCCCACCAAGGCCACGAUGGGUAGCCGACCUGAGAGGGUGAUCGGCCACAUUGGAACUGAGACACGGUCCAGACUCCUACGGGAGGCAGCAGUGGGGAAUAUUGCACAAUGGGGGAAACCCUGAUGCAGCAACGCCGCGUGAGCGACGAAGGCCUUCGGGUUGUAAAGCUCUGUCUUCUCUGACGAAUUAAUGACGGUAAGAGAGGAGGAAGCCACGGCUAACUACGUGCCAGCAGCCGCGGUAAUACGUAGGUGGCAAGCGUUGUCCGGAAUUAUUGGGCGUAAAGGGUGCGUAGGUGGUCUUUUAAGUGGGAUGUGAAAUACCUGGGCUUAACUCAGGGAUUGCAUUCCAAACUGGGAGACUUGAGUGCAGGAGAGGAAAGUGGAAUUCCCAGUGUAGCGGUGAAAUGCGUAGAGAUUGGGAGGAACACCAGUGGCGAAGGCGACUCUCUGGACCGUAACUGACGCUGAGGCAUGAAAGCGUGGGUAGCAAACAGGAUUAGAUACCCUGGUAGUCCACGCCGUAAACGAUGAGUACUAUGUGUAGGAGGGU
rnacentral:rRNA from 1 species